UACGUAGGGGGCAAGCGUUGUCCGGAUUUAUUGGGCGUAAAGAGCGUGUAGGCGGCCCGGUAGGUCAGCUGUGAAAACUCGAGGCUCAACCUCGAGACGUCGGUUGAAACCACCUGGCUAGAGUCCGGAAGAGGAGAGUGGAAUUCCUGGUGUAGCGGUGAAAUGCGCAGAUAUCAGGAAGAACACCCGUGGCGAAAGCGGCUCUCUGGAACGGUACUGACGCUGAGACGCGAAAGCGUGGGGAGCGAACAGG
rnacentral:rRNA from 1 species